rnacentral:rRNA from 1 species
AGAGUUUGAUCAUGGCUCAGGAUGAACGCUGGCGGCGUGCCUAACCCAUGUAAGUCGAGCGAUCUUGUUAGCAAUAAUAAGAGAGCGGCGGAAGGGUGAGUAACACGUAGGAGACCUACCUCAUCGCAGGGAACAACUUCGCGAAAGCGGAGCUAAUACCCAAAAGGCUCACAGAUUCAUUUUUGUGAGGAGAGUAUGCAAAUGCGUGAUGAGAGGGUCCUGCGGCCCAUCAGCUAGUUGGUAGGGUAACGGCCUACCAAGGCAACGACGGGUAGGGGGUCUGAGAGGACGAUCCCCCACACUGGAACUGAAACACGGUCCAGACGCCUACGGGUGGCAGCAGGGAGGAAUAUUGGGCAAUGGACGAAAGUCUGACCCAGCAACGCCGCGUGAAGGAUGAAGGCCUUCGGGUCGUAAACUUCUUUUAGGGGAGACGAGAAAGGACGGUAUCCCCUGAAUAAGCCACGGCUAACUACGUGCCAGCAGCCGCGGUAAAACGUAGGUGGCGAGCGUUAUCCGGAUUCAUUGGGCGUAAAGAGCUUGUAGGUGGUGCGAUAAGUUGGACGUGAAAACUCCGGGCUUAACUUGGAGAGGCCGUUCAAUACUGUUGUGCUAGAGGGCGUCAGAGGGAAGUGGAAUUCCUGGUGUAGCAGUGAAAUGCGUAGAUAUCAGGAGGAACACCCGUGGCGAAGGCGGCUUCCUGGGACGUACCUGACACUGAGAAGCGAAAGCUAGGGGAGCAAACGGGAUUAGAAACCCCGGUAGUCCUAGCUGUAAACGAUGGAUGCUAGGUGUGAGUGGAUCUAACCCCGCUCGUGCCGAAGCUAACGCGUUAAGCAUCCCGCCUGGGAACUACGAGCGCAAGCUUAAAACUCAAAGGAAUUGACGG